rnacentral:tRNA from 2 species
GCGGAUGUGGCUCAGCUGGUAGAGCAUCACCUUGCCAAGGUGAGGGUCGCGGGUUCGAGUCCCGUCAUCCGCU